rnacentral:ncRNA from 1 species
CCUGGAAAUUGGUUCAGCCAGAGAUGGGGACGUUGUUUCCGAAAAGCACCGGCGGGUUUCUGUGGUGUCUCGUGCUCUCUGAACGGCCCUUUAAACACAAAGGGGAGGCUAUUAAUUUGCACUCAAUCGUACCGAUAUCCGCAUUAGGUCUCCAAGGUGAACAGCCUCUAGUCGAUAGAAUUAAUGUAGGUAAGGGAAGUCGGCAAACUAGAUCCCGUAACUUCGGGAAAAGGGAUUGGCUCCAGUGGUCGGAACGGUUGGCCAGUUGGGUUGAUGCUUGUCCGGCGCUGUUCUGUCUGCUUGAUGCUUUCGGGCUGAUGGCGGCCUAGUGAUAGUGCUUGCUUGUUGACGCUUUCUGGUGUGUGCUUUGACCUCGGUCUUAGUAUCCUGAUCGUUCAUCUAAACGACUAAACUGGAACCGGUACGGACUCAGGGAAUCCGACUGUCUAAUUAAAACAGAGGUGACAGAUGGUCCUUGCGGACGCUGACUGUCACUGAUUUCUGCCCAGUGCUCUGAAUGUUAAAUCGUAGUAAUUCGAGUAAGCGCGGGUAAACGGCGGGAGUAACUAUGACUCUCUUAAGGUAGCCAAAUGCCUCGUCAUUUAAUUGUUGACGCGCAUGAAUGGAUUAACGAGAUUCCUACUGUCCCUAACUACUAUCUAGCGAAACCACAGCCAAGGGAACGGGCUUGGCAAAAAUAGCGGGGAAAGAAGCCCUGUUGAGCUUGACUCUAGUUUGACAUUGUGAAGAGUCAUGAGAGGUGUAGCAUAGGUGGGAGUCUUCGGACGCCAAUGAAAUACCACCACUUUCAUCGACUCUUUACUUAUUCGGUUAAAAGAGAAUUGGUCGCAAGGCCUCUUUUCGAAGUAUUAAGCGGAUCCAUUUUAUGGAACCGUGACUCUCCCCGAAGACAGUGUCAAGCGGGGAGUUUGACUGGGGCGGUACAUCUAUCAAAUCGUAACGUAGGUGUCCUAAGGAGAGCUCAGAGAGGACGGAAACCUCUCGUAGAGCAAAAGGGCAAAAGCUUGCUUGAUCUU